AGUGAACGCUGGCGGUAGGCCUAACACAUGCAGGUCGAACGGCAGCACAGUAAGAGCUUGCUCUUACGGGUGGCGAGUGGCGGACGGGUGAGGAAUACAUCGGAAUCUACUUUUUCGUGGGGGAUAACGUAGGGAAACUUACGCUAAUACCGCAUACGACCUACGGGUGAAAGCAGGGGAUCUUCGGACCUUGCGCGAUUGAAUGAGCCGAUGUCGGAUUAGCUAGUUGGCGGGGUAAAGGCCCACCAAGGCGACGAUCCGUAGCUGGUCUGAGAGGAUGAUCAGCCACACUGGAACUGGGACACGGUCCAGACUCCUACGGGAGGCAGCAGUGGGGAAUAUUGGACAAUGGGCGCAAGCCUGAUCCAGCCAUACCGCGUGGGUGAAGAAGGCCUUCGGGUUGUAAAGCCCUUUGUUGGGAAAGAAAAGCAGCAGGUUAAUACCCCGCUGUUCUGACGGUACCCAAAGAAUAAGCACCGGCUAACUUCGUG
rnacentral:rRNA from 1 species